CUUACUGGAGGUCCGAACCCACGCACGUUGAAAAGUGCGGGGAUGAGGUGUGGGUAGCGGAGAAAUUCCAAUCGAACUUGGAGAUAGCUGGUUCUCUCCGAAAUAGCUUUAGGGCUAGCCUCGAGGUAAAGAGUCAUGGAGGUAGAGCACUGUUUGGACUAGGGGCCCUUCUCGGGUUACCGAAUUCAGAUAAACUCCGAAUGCCAUGUACUUAUACUCGGGAGUCAGACUGCGAGUGAUAAGAUCCGUAGUCGAAAGGGAAACAGCCCAGACCACCAGUUAAGGUCCCCAAAUAUAUGUUAAGUGGAAAAGGAUGUGGGGUUGCUUAGACAACCAGGAUGUUGGCUUAGAAGCAGCCACCAUUGAAAGAGUGCGUAAUAGCUCACUGGUCGAGUGACCCCGCGCCGAAAAUGUACCGGGGCUAAACAUAUUACCGAAACUGUGGAUGAACCUCUUUAGAGGUUCGUGGUAGGAGAGCGUUCUAAGGGCGGUGAAGUCAGACCGGAAGGACUGGUGGAGCGCUUAGAAGUGAGAAUGCCGGUAUGAGUAGCGAAAGAAGGGUGAGAAUCCCUUCCACCGAAUAUCUAAGGUUUCCUGAGGAAGGCUCGUCCGCUC
rnacentral:rRNA from 1 species